rnacentral:rRNA from 1 species
UACAGAGGGGGCAAGCGUUGUUCGGAAUUACUGGGCGUAAAGGGCGCGUAGGCGGCCUGCUAAGUCGAACGUGAAAUCCCCGAGCUCAACUCGGGAACUGCGUCCGAUACUGGCAGGCUUGAAUCCGGGAGAGGGAUGCGGAAUUCCAGGUGUAGCGGUGAAAUGCGUAGAUAUCUGGAGGAACACCGGUGGCGAAGGCGGCGUCCUGGACCAACACUGACACUGAGGAGCGAAAGCCAGGGGAGCAAACGGG